rnacentral:rRNA from 1 species
AGUGAACGCUGGCGGUAGGCCUAACACAUGCAAGUCGAACGGCAGCACAGGAGAGCUUGCUCUCUAGGUGGCGAGUGGCGGACGGGUGAGGAAUACAUCGGAAUCUGCCCAGUCGUGGGGGAUAACGUAGGGAAACUUACGCUAAUACCGCAUACGACCUUCGGGUGAAAGAGGGGGAUCGCAAGACCUCUCGCGAUUGGAUGAGCCGAUGUCGGAUUAGCUAGUUAGCGGGGUAAUGGCCCACCAAGGCGACGAUCCGUAGCUGGUCUGAGAGGAUGAUCAGCCACACUGGAACUGAGACACGGUCCAGACUCCUACGGGAGGCAGCAGUGGGGAAUAUUGGACAAUGGGCGCAAGCCUGAUCCAGCCAUACCGCGUGGGUGAAGAAGGCCUUCGGGUUGUAAAGCCCUUUUGUUGGGAAAGAAAUCUUUCAGGCUAAUACCCUGGGAGGAUGACGGCACCCAAAGAAUAAGCACCGGCUAACUUCGUG